AUGAUUAUACCAACAUUAAUGCAUCGGAUGCCAUCAGAACUCCGAAGUUAAUUGUGUUUGGAUGAGAGCAGUACUAUGAUGGGUGACCCCUUGGGAAGUCCUCGUGUUGCACUU
rnacentral:rRNA from 1 species